AAUAGAAGCUCUAUUAGGUCUUUUUCUAAGGCUGCAACAUUCCUGAAAGUAAUGUUGUUAUCCAUGGAGACUCUAGCCUUGGACAUGUUAUCCCUCCCGUCUAGCCCAGGGGAGAAAAAGCAGUUAAGCUAGCUCCUCUGUAGGCCGGAAACUAAAGGUAUCUGCAUGGUGGCAAGAACCAGCAAGGGAGGGUGUGUUGGGGAGUUUCUACACAUCCUAAAAAAGCUCUGGAAUGUUUAGUCAAUCAGGCUGAGAGCUUUAGCUCUUGAAAUUUUCCACAGUCGAUAAUAAUAGGAGAAAGGGAGAACCAGACUAGAUCAGUUGAAAAAAGCCAGAUGGAUAUUGUCUCACACAGUUUGAAAUGAGGGUUUUUUGUUUUGUUUUGUUUUUUUUUAAUAGGCAAGGUUUCAAACAAACCAUUUGGAACCUUAAACUUGUCUGUGAGAUGUCUUCAAAAAUAAGAACAUCUGCAAGAUGGAGGAAGAAUGAACCAGACAAUAUUCACCUACAAGAGACAUACAACUUGUAACCAAACACACAUACACAAGCAGGAAAAGGUAUACAUUCAUGUCAGGAAUGUGGGCACCUCAGUUAUUCUCCAUACAAAAAAGCUUAUUUUCAAGCCUGCAAUGACACAAAGGGGGCAGACUGUCUUGCAUACUUUGGAUUAAUGAUGAUGAAAGAUGCUGUGGAAGUCAGUGUUUGUCCUGGACUGCUGAUAGGGAGAUGACAGGAAGCUGUGCCAACUCCUGGUUGGUAGACAGAAGAAGAAAAGCUGUUGUAGUCAAACAGAUGAGGAUUGCACUCUGGUACCCUGAGAGUACGCCCUUUCUUUUGUCUUUUUAGUCCCUGUGGCUUAUUAUGAAGAGGAAACCCCCAUACUCAGUCAAGCAUUGCUCAUACUGAACAGUUGAUGAAGAUCUGCCCUUACUGUACCAGCUAAGUCUUGCAAAAAGUCCAGUCCCCAAAAAACACCUAUACAGAAGUGAAGGAUGCACUAAUUUUUUGUUUUUCACUUAAAAAGCUAAAAACUGUGUUUAAAACAAAUAGCAUAAUUAUUACGGGGUUCAUGUAAGCUAAGAUUUCACCUGUUCCACAGAAGUUAUAUUUACAUUUAUUUCACAACUUAAUAGUCAAGUAUUACUGUACAGAGCUUGGCUGCUGCAAGGGCUGAGGUCUGAAUUCAGCGAUCCAGAGGAUUGCUGGUGACCCCUCAAAGUGUUCAGCCUGUUCCUGGUUUUCGUGCUCACCUGUGGUUUCUCCUGGAAAAUGCGCAACUCAACUGUCACCGACUUCUGAGACAGCAUUGAAAAUGGUUUUGGCAGGUCCUCAAUGGCACCUACUUGCAGGCAGUCCAGAUACAACUCUAUCG